rnacentral:rRNA from 1 species
AUUGAACGCUGGCGGCAGGCCUAACACAUGCAAGUCGAGCGGAUGAAGGGAGCUUGCUCCUGGAUUCAGCGGCGGACGGGUGAGUAAUGCCUAGGAAUCUGCCUGGUAGUGGGGGAUAACGUCCGGAAACGGGCGCUAAUACCGCAUACGUCCUGAGGGAGAAAGUGGGGGAUCUUCGGACCUCACGCUAUCAGAUGAGCCUAGGUCGGAUUAGCUAGUUGGUGGGGUAAAGGCCUACCAAGGCGACGAUCCGUAACUGGUCUGAGAGGAUGAUCAGUCACACUGGAACUGAGACACGGUCCAGACUCCUACGGGAGGCAGCAGUGGGGAAUAUUUGACCAUGGGCGAAAGCCUGAUCCAGGCAUGCCGCGUGUGUGAAGAAGGUCUUCGGAUUGUAAGGCACUUUAAGUUGGGAGGAAGGGCAGUAAGUUAAUACCUUGCUGUUUUGACGUUACCAACAGAAUAAGCACCGGCUAACUUCGUG